rnacentral:rRNA from 1 species
UAUCUCUGUAGAGUCUGCAUAUCAAUAAGCGGAGGAAAAGAAACUAACUAGGAUUCCCUCAGUAACGGCGAGUGAAGCGGGAAGAGCUCAAAUUUGAAAUCUUCAAGGUUCUACCUUGACGAAUUGUAGUUUAAAGAAGUGUUUUCUGUUGGAGUUUUGGUAAAAGUUCUUUGGAAUAGGACAUCAUAGAGGGUGAGAAUCCCGUAUCUGACCGUUACUUUUCAGCUGUGUGAUACACUUUCAAAGAGUCGGAUUGUUUGGGAACGCAGUCCAAAAUGGGUGGUAAAUUUCAUCUAAAGCUAAAUAUUGGCGAGAGACCGAUAGCGAACAAGUACCGUGAGGGAAAGAUGAAAAGAACUUUGAAAAGAGAGUUAAACAGUACGUGAAAUUGUCAAAAGGGAAGCGUUUGACACCAGUGUUGUUUUCUCGAAAAUCAAUUAAAAAAUGCUUGAUUUUGUGUUGUAUUGACCUUAAAAGCUUUCUUCACUUUUUUCAUGUCUUUUUUAACUGCACUUUUCGUUUAACAAGUCAACAUCAGUUUCUUUUGUUGUAAAAAGGUCAUUGGAAGGUGGCUUUCUUUUCGGAGAAAGUGUUUAUAGCCUUUGACUCCUGCAAUCGGAGAGACUGAGGUCUGCAGCGUAGAUCCUUCUUGGAUUAGAUUCAUUUGUGCUAAGUUAUAGCUUUUCAUAGACAACUUGUUGACUAUAUUUAGUCUUGUAGGCUUACUCGCUUAUGUAUUUUACCUACGCUUAGGAUGUUGAUCUCUCACAGUCGAGC